AUUGAACGCUGGCGGCAUGCCUUACACAUGCAAGUCGAACGGUAACAGGUCUUCGGAUGCUGACGAGUGGCGAACGGGUGAGUAAUACAUCGGAACGUGCCUAGUAGUGGGGGAUAACUACUCGAAAGAGUGGCUAAUACCGCAUGAGAUCUACGGAUGAAAGCAGGGGAUCGCAAGACCUUGUGCUACUAGAGCGGCCGAUGGCAGAUUAGGUAGUUGGUGGGAUAAAAGCUUACCAAGCCGACGAUCUGUAGCUGGUCUGAGAGGACGAUCAGCCACACUGGAACUGAGGCACGGCCCGGACUCCUACGGGAGGCAGCAGUGGGGAAUUUUGGACAAUGGGGGCAACCCUGAUCCAGCAAUGCCGCGUGCAGGAAGAAGGCCUUCGGGUUGUAAACUGCUUUUGUACGGAACGAAACGGUCUGGAUUAAUACCCUGGGCUAAUGACGGUACCGUAAGAAUAAGCACCGGCUAACUACGUGCCAGCAGCCGCAGUAA
rnacentral:rRNA from 1 species